GAUGAACGCUGACAGAAUGCUUAACACAUGCAAGUCUACUUGAAUUUGGGUUUUUUAACUUAGAUUUGGGUGGCGGACGGGUGAGUAACGCGUAAAGAACUUGCCUCACAGCUAGGGACAACAUUUGGAAACGAAUGCUAAUACCUGAUAUUAUGAGGAUAAGGCAUCUUAGAAUUAUGAAAGCUAUAUGCGCUGUGAGAGAGCUUUGCGUCCCACUAGCUAGUUGGAGAGGUAACGGCUCACCAAGGCGAUGAUGGGUAGCCGGCCUGAGAGGGUGAACGGCCACAAGGGGACUGAGACACGGCCCUUACUCAUACGGGAGGCAGCAGUGGGGAACAUUGGCCAAUGGACCAAGAGUGUGAUCCAGCAAUUCUGUGUGCAAGAUGACGUUUUUCGGAAUGUAAAGCGCUUUCAGUUGGGAAGAAAAAAAUGACGGUACCAACAGAAGAAGUGACGGCUAAAUACGUG
rnacentral:rRNA from 1 species